GUUUGUUUCUGACACUGAAUACACCCAAUCUCAUCUGAUCCUGCAAAGCUAAGCAGGGUUUGGGCCUGGUAGUAUUUGGAUGGGAGACUACCUGGGAAUACCAGGUGCUGUAAGCU
rnacentral:rRNA from 1 species